AUCCACCAGACAGACCCAAAUUGAGGGGGAUUCUACAAAAUACACGACCCGCACUCUUCUAAGGUGUCAAGGUCAUGAAAAACAAGACUGGAAAACCAACACAGACUGGAGGAGACUAAGAAGACCUGACAACUAAAUGCCAUGUGGGACCCUGGAGGGGACCCGGGAACAGUAGUAGAAGAGCUGGUGACAUCUGAAUGAAGUCUGUAAUUUGGAACAGAAGAGAUGAUGGCAAUGCACCUUGCAGGUGCAGUUUCCUUGGGGACCCCUGAACAAGGAGGUUGUUAUCUGGCCAUCUUCAUUCCCACCUUGUGGGAACUGGGUCCAGGGAACCAACACAAAUAAGCUGACAACUUGG
rnacentral:lncRNA from 10 species